rnacentral:rRNA from 1 species
CGACCGACCAGACGAAAUGUGCACCGAGCCUGGCAUGGUAUCUAUACAUAAUAUAAAGAGUAAUUAGAGUGCUUAAAUUUUUAAUGAAUUCAAUAUGAAUUGAUUAUAUAGAAUAUAAGAUAGAAAUUACAAGACAGCACGACCUGUGUUGUUCCGAGUAGAACUAUGAUAAAAGAGGAAAUAAGCAAACAGUACAUGCACUGUGUAAUAUAAACACACCCUCUCACACACACUACAAUUGUUUUAUUCGAUUUNCAAAAACGAANGGAUACAUAUGGGAGUCAGCAGUGGGGAAUAUCGGACAAUGGGGGAAACCCUGAUCCAGCAAUGCCGAAUGUGUGAAGAAGGCCUACGGGUUGUAAAGCACUUUUAUCGGGGAAGAAUAGGUUGUCGUUAAUAGCGCCAACACUUGACAUUACCCGUUGAAUAAGCACCGGCUAACUCCGUGCCAGCAGCCGCGGUAAUACGGAGGGUGCGAGCGUUAAUCGGAAUUACUGGGCGUAAAGGGUGCGUAGGCGGAGAUUCAAGUCUGAUGUGAAAGCCCUGGGCUUAACCUGGGAAUGGCAUUGGAAACUGGGUUUCUAGAGUGUGGUAGAGGAUAGUGGAAUUUCCAGUGUAGCGGUGAAAUGCGUAGAUAUUGGAAAGAACACCGAUGGCGAAGGCAGCUGUCUGGGCCAACACUGACGCUGAGGUACGAAAGCGUGGGGAGCAAACAGGAUUAGAUACCCUGGUAGUCCACGCCCUAAACGAUGUCGACUUGUCGUUGGGGGAAUUUAUUCCCUCAGUGACGGAGCUACGCGUAAGUCGACCCUGGAUCGCAGGGAA